GCGGCCUCGGGCAGAGGGAGGGAGCCGGCGGGCAGCGCGCCUCCCGGAGCCGCUGUCAUUUCACUGGCGCAUCCUGGGCAAAGGCAGUGUGGUCCUGGGGUGGACAGCAGAUUCCAGAAAGGGACUGUGAGCUAUUCAGUAUCCCCAGAAUGCCGGUCAGAGCAGACUGCAAAGAAAUGUUGCUUUGGUGAACGAUGUGCUGGGAAGAGGUGAAGGCAGGAAGUCCAGAAAUGAGCACAGUCGUCCAGCCAAGCAGUGCUGGGAGCUCAGGACAGAGUGGCAGAGUGGUGUUGGGAAAGAAGGGACGUUUAAACAAGAUGGAAGAGCAAGAGGACUCGAUGCUGCUACAAGCAGUCCGGGAAAGUUUUGAUUGUGUGUUUGUUUUCCUCACUAAACCCACAAGAUUUAUAUGUUGAAAUUCUAACCCCUAAGGCAAUAGGAAGGGGGUCCUUUUGCAGGUGAUUAGGUCGGAUGGAAUUAGUGCCCUUAUAAAAGACACCCUCGAGCGCUGCCUUCUCCUUCAACCACAUGAGGACACAGCAAGAAAGUGCCAUCUAUGAGCCAGAAGGUGGGUUCUCACUAGACACCCAAUCUGCCUGGAUCUUGAACCUGCCAGCCUCCAGAACCAUGAGAAAUAAAUUUCUAUUGUUGAUAAGCCA